GCUGAUAAAAUCAGCCGUCGCCGGUGCUGUGGAAUUAAGCCACAGGUUGCGAGAUAGUGAAAAUCCCCGGGG
rnacentral:sRNA from 12 species